rnacentral:rRNA from 1 species
UCAAGUUACUAAGAGCGCAGGGCGGAUGCCUUGGCACCAAGAGGCGAAGAAGGACGUAGAAAGCUGCGAAAAGCUCCCUAGAUCUGCAAACAAGAAACGAAAGGGAGAUAUCCGAAUGGGGCAACCCACUUAAGCAAACCUUAAGUAUCUAUAUAUGAAUAAAAUAGUAUAUAGAGGCAAUACCGGGAGAACUGAAACAUCUAAGUACCCCGAGGAACAGAAAGAAACAUCGAUUUUCAAAGUAGCGGCGAGCGAAAUGGAAAGAGCCCGCUUAAAGAAAUACUAAAAAAGUAUCCGAAUGAUCUUGGAAAAAUCAUCCAAAGAAAGUGAAAGACUUGUAGGAGAAGAUAUUAAUAUUUCAAUAAGCUUAACGAGUACCACAAGGCACGAGAAACCUGGUGGGAAUACGGGAGGACCACCUCCCAAGGCUAAAUACUACUUGGUGACCGAUAGAGAAUUAGUACCGUGAGGGAAAGGUAAAAAGAACCCCGAAAGGGGAGUGAAAUAGAACCUGAAACCCUGCGUUUACAAGCAAAGAAAGCACGUGAAAAGUGCAAUCUUGUACUUUUUGUAGAACGGGCCAGCGAGUUACUUUUGUAAGCAAGGUUAAGAAGUUAAGCUUCGAAGCCGAAGAGAAAUCAAGUCUUAAUAGGGCGACAUAGUUUACAGGAGUAGACCCGAAACCAGGUGACCUAUCCAUGAGCAGAGUGAAGUUAAAGUAAAAUUUAAUGGAGGCUCGAACCGGGUGUGGUUUAAAACACAUCGGAUGACUUGUGGAUAGGGGUGAAAAGCCAAUCGAACCUGGAGAUAGCUGGUUCUCCUCGAAAUAGCUUUAGGGCUAGCCUUUAGGAUGUUUAAUGGAGGUAGAGCUACUGACUGGUUGCGGGGUGUUUAUACAUUACCAAAACCUAUCAAACUCCGAAUGCCAAGAAAACAAACCUAAGGAGUCAGACUAUGUGGGAUAAGCUUCAUAGUCGAAAGGGAAAGAGCCCAGACCAUCAGCUAAGGUCCCCAAAUACCGAUUAAGUGGUAAAGGAUGUGAAGUUACCCAAACAACUAGGAUGUUGGCUUAGAAGCAGCCAUACAUUUAAAGAGUGCGUAAUAGCUCACUAGUCGAGUGACCUUGCGCCGAAGAUUUCCGGGGCUAAAUCGGAUACCGAAGCUAUGGACUCAAUAUGAGUGGUAGAGGAGCAUUGUGUAAUAGGCAGAAGCAGUACCGAAAGGCGCUGUGGACGAAACACAAGAGAGAAUGCUGGCAUAAGUAGCGAGAAGGAGUGUGAGAAUCACUCCCGUCGAAAACCUAAGGGUUCCUGAGCAAGGCUCGUCCCCUCAGGGUAAGUCGGGACCUAAGGCGAGGCCGAAAGGCGUAGCCGAUGGACAAGUAGUAAAAAUUCUACUACUAUCAAUUAUCGUAUAAAUGAAGCGGGGACACAGAAGGAUAAGCUAAGCGUACCAGAUGGACGAGUACGCUCAAAUAAAAAGGCAUGCCAGGACUAAUAACCAGGCUAAGCCAAUUUAUGAUGAGGAUCGAAAAUAAGUAGAGAAGUAGCCGAUUUCACACUGUCAAGAAAAGCCGCUAAAUAGAUAAAAGAUACCCGUACCGUAAACCGACACAGGUAGGAAAGGAGAGAAUCCUAAGACGCGCGGAAGAACCUUUGUUAAGGAACUCGGCAAAAUGACCCCGUAAGUUAGCGAGAAGGGGAGCCAGAGCGAUCUGGCCGCAGUGAAUAGGCCCAAGCGACUGUUUACCAAAAACACAAGUUUCUGCUAAGUCGAAAGACGACGUAUAGGAGCUGACACCUGCCCGGUGCUGGAAGGUUAAGGGGAAAUGUUAGCGUAAGCGAAGCAUAGAACUUAAGCCCCAGUAAACGGCGGCCGUAACUAUAACGGUCCUAAGGUAGCGAAAUUCCUUGUCGGGUAAGUUCCGACCCGCACGAAAGGUGUAAC